UACGUAGGGGGCAAGCGUUGUCCGGAAUUAUUGGGCGUAAAGAGCGUGUAGGCGGUCCGGUAAGUCCGCUGUGAAAGUCCAGGGCUCAACCCUGGAAUGCCGGUGGAUACUGCCGGGCUAGAGUCCGGAAGAGGCGAGUGGAAUUCCUGGUGUAGCGGUGAAAUGCGCAGAUAUCAGGAGGAACACCGAUGGCGAAGGCAGUUCUCUGGGCCGUAACUGACGCUGAGGAGCGAAAGCGUGGGGAGCGAACAGG
rnacentral:rRNA from 1 species